rnacentral:rRNA from 1 species
GAUGAACGCUGGCGGUAUGCUUAACACAUGCAAGUCGAACGGACUCUUCGGAGUUAGUGGCGGACGGGUGAGUAACGCGUGAGAAUCUGGCUUUGGGUUCGGGACAACCACUGGAAACGGUGGCUAAUACCGGAUGUGCCGAGAGGUAAAAGAGAAAUUGCCUGAAGAUGAGCUCGCGUCUGAUUAGCUAGUUGGUGAGGUAAAGGCUCACCAAGGCAGCGAUCAGUAGCUGGUCUGAGAGGAUGACCAGCCACACUGGGACUGAGACACGGCCCAGACUCCUACGGGAGGCAGCAGUGGGGAAUUUUCCGCAAUGGGCGAAAGCCUGACGGAGCAGUACCGCGUGAGGGAAGAAGGCUCUUGGGUUGUAAACCUCUUUUCUUAGGGAAGAACAAAAUGACGGUACCUAAGGAAUCAGCAUCGGCUAACUCCGUG